rnacentral:rRNA from 1 species
UACAGAGGGUGCGAGCGUUAAUCGGAAUUACUGGGCGUAAAGCGUGCGCAGGCGGUUUCACAAGCUCGAUGUGAAAGCCCCGGGCUUAACCUGGGAAUGGCAUUGAGGACUGUGGAGCUCGAGUGCGGCAGAGGGAGGUGGAAUUCCACGUGUAGCAGUGAAAUGCGUAGAGAUGUGGAGGAACACCGAUGGCGAAGGCAGCCUCCUGGGCCGACACUGACGCUCAUGCACGAAAGCGUGGGGAGCAAACAGG